ensembl:lncRNA
AGGGCUGUACCCAUGGCAUAUAGAAGUUCCCAGGCUAGGGUUCUAAUCUGUGCUUCAGCUAUAGGCCUAUGCCACAGCCACAGCAUCAUAGGAUCCUAGCUGCAUCUGCAACCAAUACUGCAGCUUGUGGCAACACUGGAUCUUUAACCUACUGAGCAAGUUCAGGGAUUGAACCUGUAUCCUCACAGAUACUGUGUCAAAUUCUUAACCUGCUGUGCCACAGAAGGAACUCCCAUGAUGAAAGUUUUAACAGUGGUACUAUAAAGCACUGGGGGCUGUCAGUCCUUGGCCUGCCACCAGAACUGAGGCACUCAUUGUCCACAAGCCAGUGGAUGAUCUGGCUCCCAGAUCUAGUUUUAAAGGCUUCCCCAGGUUCACUUCCAGUAUUAAGAGUCUUAGGUUUCCUGAGAAAGAGACUCAGAAUUACUUAGAGGGGCUUUUGAAUGGUUCUUAAAAGCAGCAUCUGUGAGGGCACACAGGCCUGGGCAGAGGGUGAGGUUGAGUGAAAGUCAGCAGUACAACUGAGGCCUCAGCCAAUGUUCUGUAGGGCUCUAAGGUGACUCCCUUGUACCAACAGAAGCAAGGGAACCAGGUCUUUGUAUAACCACAUGGACCAGUGAUUGGGUGCAUAUUGCCCCUGGGAAGGGUGUCACCUUAAGUAAAGUUCUUCAGCGAAUUUUACUGGAGAGGGACCCAGCAGUGAGGCAUCAGCAUCCUAGGACACCUGGGGCGCCACCAGACACCUGGUUCAGUGAACGCCUUCGUCCUAAAGGAUUAUUUAGAAUGUGCACAGCAGUGGCCCCUCACUAUUUCCUAGGUGUUUAAUUUAUGUAUUUUUUUGUGUGUCAUUGCAUGUAUUUGUAUCUAUUUCUUCAUAGAACUUCAAUAGCAACCAAAUGGACACACUUCUAAAAAAAACCACUCAUUUUAAGUGCUUUAAUGCACUGCUUUGCUGCAAAAUAUUGACUGUAAAACACCUCUGUCCUGGAAGAGAUCCACCCAGGAGAAAGCUCUUGAAUCUGUUCCUUCCUUAGCAAUUGAGAAGCUGUUAGAUCAUCAAGAGAGGUUUGUCAUGGUGGUUGUGGCUGUUGGGGUGCUUUCAAGGGGGGUGUAUAUAGGAGUAAUGUUUAAGGAGAUAAGAAGACAGUUUCAAUUAAGGGAAAUUCAAUUAAAGUGUCAUUUAUCUUUUUUUUUUUUUUUUUUUUUGUUUUUUUCUUUGUCUUUUGUUUUUUUAGGGCCAUACCUGUGGCAUAUGGAGGUUCCCAGGCUAGGGGUCUAAUUGGAGCUGUAGCUGCCGACCUACACCAGAGCCAUAGCAAUGCCAGAUCUGAGCCGCGUCUGUGACCAACACCACAGCUCAUGGCAGCUUUGGAUCCUUAACCCACUAAGCGAGGCCAAGGAUCAAACCAGAAACCCCAUGCUUCCUAGCUGGAUUCAUUUCCACUGUGCCACAACGGGAACUCCUUGAAGAGUCAUUUUUCUAAUGAUCAUUUGCUAAAACUCUGAAACUAUUAUAAGAAGUAUUUGUAGGAAUCCUGCUUCCUAGCUUGGUAUGAUGAGGAAAUGGCAUUGAAUUAACCAGUGAUUUCUAGCUUCUAGUCCAAUUUUCCUUCUUACACAAACAAAAUAACAUAAACAAGCCCUCAUAUGCUCAGUCUCAAAGAUUUAGUCUGAAAUGAACAGUAAGUUGUCUUUCAUGGUUCUCCAUCUUGUGUACAAUUUAUUGGUGUAAUUGAUAAAAAAUAAGGAUCAUGCUUUUCUCAUUGGAGUCCCCUUACUUUAAUCUUCCUCACCACUCAACAGUUAAUUGCACAAACCAGGUCCAAGCCUUCAGUAUUUGCUUAUUUGCUAUAGAUUAGUAUCUAAAUCCUCAGCGCUAAAAUGUAACAGCUUAAAAGUCAUACUUAUAACCUGACAUUUGCCUCUGGUUCAUGUUCCCUCUAGACUUUUCUUCCUUCACUGUACCAGAGUCCACAUAAACAGUGUAUCAUGACUCUUGAAUAAGCAUAAGGAUGAUCUGCUUACAAUCAAAUCUUAUUAUAAUUAAAUAAGUUCUGGAAUAUAUUUAACAUGAUCCAAAUUUUCAAAUAUAAUGAAUUACUGUUCGGCAAAACCAAAUAAUAAUGUUUUUUACGCUUUUUAUCUGUCAUGCUGAAGUCAACAUGAGUGUUGAAAAUUAUUUAUUGUAUAAUGUUAUGCAUUAUCAUGUAACAUUAAAUGACUGGAGUUCCCACUGUGGUUCAGCANNNNNNNNNNNNNNNNNNNUCAGCAGUAACAAACCCAACUAGUAUCCAGAGGAUGCAGGUUCGAUCACCGGCCUCCCUCAGUGGGUUAAGGAUCUGGCAUUGCUGUGAGCUGUGGUGUAGGCCAGAUAGACCCCUAGUCUGGAAACCUCCAUAUGUUGUGGGUGUAGCCAUGAAAAGAAAAAAGAAAAAACAAAGAAAAAA